rnacentral:rRNA from 1 species
GGUGCUGGCGGCGGCCUAACACAUGCAGUCGAGCGGUAGAGAGAAGCUUGCUUCUCUUGAGAGCGGCGGACGGGUGAGUAAUGCCUAGGAAUCUGCCUGGUAGUGGGGGAUAACGUCCGGAAACGGACGCUAAUACCGCAUACGUCCUACGGGAGAAAGCAGGGGACCUUCGGGCCUUGCGCUAUCAGAUGAGCCUAGGUCGGAUUAGCUAGUUGGUGAGGUAAUGGCUCACCAAGGCGACGAUCCGUAACUGGUCUGAGAGGAUGAUCAGUCACACUGGAACUGAGACACGGUCCAGACUCCUACGGGAGGCAGCAGUGGGGAAUAUUGGACAAUGGGCGAAAGCCUGAUCCAGCCAUGCCGCGUGUGUGAAGAAGGUCUUCGGAUUGUAAAGCACUUUAAGUUGGGAGGAAGGGUACUUACCUAAUACGUGAGUAUUUUGACGUUACCGACAGAAUAAGCACCGGCUAACUCUGUGCCAGCAGCCGCGGUAAUACAGAGGGUGCAAGCGUUAAUCGGAAUUACUGGGCGUAAAGCGCGCGUAGGUGGUUCGUUAAGUUGGAUGUGAAAUCCCCGGGCUCAACCUGGGAACUGCAUCCAAAACUGGCGAGCUAGAGUAUGGUAGAGGGUGGUGGAAUUUCCUGUGUAGCGGUGAAAUGCGUAGAUAUAGGAAGGAACACCAGUGGCGAAGGCGACCACCUGGACUGAUACUGACACUGAGGUGCGAAAGCGUGGGGAGCAAACAGGAUUAGAUACCCUGGUAGUCCACGCCGUAAACGAUGUCAACUAGCCGUUGGGAGCCUUGAGCUCUUAGUGGCGCAGCUAACGCAUUAAGUUGACCGCCUGGGGAGUACGGCCGCAGUUAAACUAAAAUGAGAAAUUGAGCGGACGCCGGAUACAA